CUGUUCCUGUUGCUGCUUUGAUAUUAUCAGUCUAUUCAACAGCGAUAUUUGAUAUUGUAUGUUGGACAUGAAUGGACGGUAUCCUAAACUGUAAUUGAAACAUACGAUCAGUAUCAUCUUCGGAAAAUGGAAGCAAUUAUUAAUCGAUAGUCUGCAUCGGUGCGUGUGCUGUUCUCACUGUUCUAGCCAUGGCUGCCCCAUCGCGAAGAACGGUUGCUACUACAGCAGCCCAUCCUAGACAGCAACCUUCGAGAAAGAGUUGCAGCAAAUACCUGCAACGAUUUAGAAUAUAUAAGAAACAGUCGUAAUAUUAGACCUAGUAGGUUUUUCAUACUUUUUAUAACGACACAUAAGAUAUGUGCAUAUAUUAGUACCUGAGCUGUACUUCGGCUCGACCGAUUGGUGCAGAGGUUAACGAAGUUGACUGGAUGUCCGUGGGUCCUACUGAUUCCGGUGAAACCCAACAUACAGAGCCAACGAUAGACUCUGCAUCGUCCCUCCAAAUCGUGCUGGUAUCGCUAAGAACACUGUUGGCAUCUGGAAUUUUAUAAUUGGGCAAAACAUGAAUAUAAUGUUUACAUAUUUGAAAAUCUAUUAUUUAUAGAGAUACAGAAACUCGCGACUUCGCAGGAAAAUUCGUCUAAGUGGAAAUCAAUGUACACUCUUCUUCUAAAUGAAAGUUAUGACUUACCAUGUAUUAGAUUCGGUGUCAACUUAGCUUCUGCGGUCGGAAAUUGCGUUUCUAAACUGGCGACGGGUGAGACCAGCGUUGUAUACGGUGGCCUACCACUUGGAAGACUGGUAUAUCCACUGUCGGGUAGAUCAACAUUUAAAUUUGGCGACAACGUUUCGUCAUCAGACAUCACAGAGUGUAAAGAUGUGAGACUGGAUCUACGAAAUUUUUGUAGAGUCGGUAACGAAAGAGUCGGAUAUGGAAAUACGAAAUCCUCGUGGACCGCCUUCAAAGUCCCCACGUAGUCGUCGACUUUCGCUGCUCUGUCACGUUCUCGGGCGAACCAAGUGACUAAAUGAAAGUCAAGACGAGCCGCGAACCUACCCAAAUCGGUCAAGCGGCGAGCUGAAAGAAGACGUCGAGCGUGACGUUGCAAGAUGACAUCGAUGAAGAACUCCUCUGCUGAUCCUUCCCUGGGAAAUAAAAAAAUUUGCCAUAUUUAAUAUAUUGACAUUACUUUAAGUAGAUUUUUGAAAUGUAAAGUAGUUUAAGAAAGCGUAAUAAUUACUUAUUCUCAGUUUUUUCAGUUUUCACCGUCGGCACCGAUUUCUUCCGUCUCAUAACGACAUUCCGGGUUUUCUCGAGCAUGGAGGACGGCGCGAUAUCUUUUUCGGAUUGCACUUUGGGUGUAACUGUAGUACUGUAACUGCGGCUUCUUGAGACUUGCAUAGUGCCCAAGACCAAGGAUAGAUCGUCUUCGUGCGGAGAAAGCGGAGGUGUCUGCGGAGGGCCACCCAGUUUCGCACUGCCGCUCCACGAUGAUAAUCAAGUAACUAGCGGCGGUGUCGAGCUGUUGACGUUGCAAGCAAUCUUGCAACAGUUUCUUCGGAGGACCGGCGACGGAGAAUAGAUACGGCCAAAGAGCAAUCUCGGUUUUCCGGGCGCAUUGUACG